GACGAACGCUGGCGGCGUGCUUAACACAUGCAAGUCGAACGGAAAGGCCCUGCUUUUGUGGGGUGCUCGAGUGGCGAACGGGUGAGUAACACGUGAGUAACCUGCCCUUGACUUUGGGAUAACUUCAGGAAACUGGGGCUAAUACCGGAUAGGAGCUCCUGCUGCAUGGUGGGGGUUGGAAAGUUUCGGCGGGUGGGGAUGGACGCGCGGCUUAUCAGCUAGUUGGUUGGGUAGUGGCUUACCAAGGCUGUGACGGGUAGCCGGCCUGAGAGGGUGACCGGCCACAAUGGGACUGAGAUACGGACCAGACUGCUACGGGGGGCAGCAGGGGGGAGUAUUGCACAAUGGGAGGAAGCCUGAUGCAGCAACGCCGCGUGCGGGAUGACGGCCUUCGGGUUGUAAAACGCUUUCGCCUGUGACGAAGCGUGAGUGACGGUAAUGGGUAAAGAAGCACCGGCUAACUACGUG
rnacentral:rRNA from 1 species